rnacentral:rRNA from 1 species
GGGGGGAAUCUUCCGCAAUGGACGAAAGUCUGACGGAGCAACGCCGCGUGAGUGAUGAAGGCUUUCGGGUCGUAAAACUCUGUUGUUAGGGAAGAACAAGUGCUAGUUGAAUAAGCUGGCACCUUGACGGUACCUAACCAGAAAGCCACGGCUAACUACGUGCCAGCAGCCGCGGUAAUACGUAGGUGGCAAGCGUUAUCCGGAAUUAUUGGGCGUAAAGCGCGCGCAGGUGGUUUCUUAAGUCUGAUGUGAAAGCCCACGGCUCAACCGUGGAGGGUCAUUGGAAACUGGGAGACUUGAGUGCAGAAGAGGAAAGUGGAAUUCCAUGUGUAGCGGUGAAAUGCGUAGAGAUAUGGAGGAACACCAGUGGCGAAGGCGACUUUCUGGUCUGUAACUGACACUGAGGCGCGAAAGCGUGGGGGAGCAAACAGGAUUAGAUACCCUGGUAGUC